AUGAAUAGAAAGACAAAUAACCGUCAUUCUAAAUACUAUGAUGAUUGUGGCAUAUGGGAAUCUUCAAAGGGGAAGGUCUUCCACCAAGACUACCUAUUAUCAGACAAUUUCCGGACAAUAUUUCUGAAAAAUGACCAAUAUUGCACAAAAGUUAGACAGGGUGGAAAGACAUUAUUUGUACCAAUAACGCCUCAACCAGAUUCUACAUCCAUUGUUACUAUGCACCGAUAUAGUACAGUACUUAAAGAAAACAAUUCUUUUAAAAAACACGUCACAUGGUUUAAUGCGUCCUUUGCCGAUGAUUUACCAUCCAUUGCAGUGUACGAAUAUUCCGGUACUUACUCUUUAGAAAAUGCAAAGAAUUAUGUAAGAACCCACCCCAAAACGCUAGACAAAGUAGUUGACCAAUGUGCAUUAAAAGAUAAUAAAGAGGUUUUCAUACAGAUGAAUAGAGACAAUUCUUUACAUGCACCCAGAGAUACCAAACAAAUAAGAAAUGCCAAGUAUCGUAAUAAACUUAAAACACAGCCUGCUUAUGCCAAUGUUGCGGAUGAAAUUCUUGCCGUUGUCGGAAUGCUCGAUACACAUCCGUUUGUACAACAAAUUAUUCACAACAAGAAUCAAGUACCAGCAAUAGUGUGUUACACAGAAAAUCAAAUAACAGAUUUGAGACAUUUUCUUGCACAAAAGUCCGAGCAUCCUCUUGGUGUUGACAGAACAUUCAAUCUCGGAAGUUUUUAUGUCACAUCCAUUGUUUACAAGAACCUGCGGGUAAAUAGAAAAGAAACCAAAGACCAUCCAAUCUUUGCAGGACCAAUGCUUCUACACAAGGAUGCGUCAUACAAAACAUACAGAGCCUUCUUUUCAAACAUUUCUGCCACACUUGAACAAGCCAUUAAUAAUGUAGAACUACGUCUCCAUGAAAAUAUAGAGUUCGGCAGUGAUGACGAAAAGGCGAUGACCAAGGCGAUAGAAAAGGCAUUUCCAACCGCCAAACGAAGAUUGUGCACAAAACAUUUAAAGGACAAUGUACAACAUUACCUUCAAGAUCGUGUCGGUGUUAGCACCCAAGAAAGAAAAACCAUCAUCAACACCAUUUUUGGAGAUCAAGGAAUUGCAAGCGCAGACGACACAUUGCAAUUUGCAAGGGCAGAUUCAGAGCUCAAGGACUUGUGUGCAAAUUACCCUCAGUUCCUGAAAUAUUACGAACAAAGUUUUAAACCAAGAGUCCAAGAAUUCGUUAAUGCACCCAAUAGACGUUUGGGCACCAAACAAAUGUGGACGAACAACAACGCAGAAUCUAUGAACCGGGUGAUGAAAGUGGCGGUCAACUGGAAGCCCCAACAUGCCCCAGAUUUGGUUGAUAAACUAUUUGACAUGGUGGACUUCCAGUUCAUCAAUCUUCGAUCAGCCCUUCAUCAUUCUGGGGACUACAUGCUUGUCAACUCAUACAAACAGUACACUAUAGCUGAUGCCAUAUGGAAAACAAAAUCAGAUGAGGAAAAACAACGGCUCUUUAAUAAUUUCCUACAGGACAAUAAGAAAAGAAAGCAUGAAAAUAUCAUAACUUCAUCAGAUGGACUCUAUUCUGUUGUCAACAAGGCUAAGUCAAUAGCCAGGAAACCUAUGCAAAGAAAGAGACCAAGAACAGAAAGAGCCGAAAAAAGACAUUAA
rnacentral:sRNA from 1 species